AGGACGAACGCUGGCGGCGUGCUUAACACAUGCAAGUCGAACGAGAAGUCUGUGGAAAGAGGAUUCGUCCAAUUGAAGCAGAGGACAGUGGCGGACGGGUGAGUAACGCGUGGAUAACCUGCCUCACACAGGGGGACAACAGUUGGAAACGACUGCUAAUACCGCAUAACACAAGUAAUUCGCAUGAAUAACUUGCCAAAGAUUAUAUCGGUGUGAGAUGGAUCCGCGUCUGAUUAGCCAGUUGGCGGGGUAACGGCCCACCAAAGCGACGAUCAGUAGCCGACCUGAGAGGGUGACCGGCCACAUUGGGACUGAGACACGGCCCAAACUCCUACGGGAGGCAGCAGUGGGGAAUAUUGCACAAUGGGCGCAAGCCUGAUGCAGCGACGCCGCGUGAAGGAUGAAGUAUUUCGGUAUGUAAACUUCUAUCAGCAGGGAAGAAAAUGACGGUACCUGACUAAGAAGCCCCGGCUAACUACGUG
rnacentral:rRNA from 1 species